rnacentral:rRNA from 1 species
GACGAACGCUGGCGGCGUGCCUAAUGCAUGCAAGUUGAGCGAUGAAGAUUGGUGCUUGCACCAAUUUGAAGAGCAGCGAACGGGUGAGUAACGCGUGGGGAAUCUGCCUUUGAGCGGGGGACAACAUUUGGAAACGAAUGCUAAUACCGCAUAACAACUUUAAACAUAAGUUUUAAGUUUGAAAGAUGCAAUUGCAUCACUCAAAGAUGAUCCCGCGUUGUAUUAGCUAGUUGGUGAGGUAAAGGCUCACCAAGGCGAUGAUACAUAGCCGACCUGAGAGGGUGGUCGGCCACAUUGGGACUGGGGCACGGCCCAAAAUCCUACGGGAGGGAGCAGUAGGGAAUCUUCGGCAAUGGACGAAAGUCUGACCGGGCAACGCCGCGGGAGUGAAGAAGGGUUUCGGAUCGUAAAACUCUGUUGGUAGAGAAGAACGUUGGUGAGAGUGGAAAGCUCAUCAAGUGACGGUAACUACCCAGAAAGGGACGGCUAACUACGUG